CGCUCCUUGAAAUUUAUUUAUAGGGAGUCGGGCCUGCCCAGUGACUAAAAUGUUAAACGGCCGCAGUAUUUUGACUGUGCAAAGGUAGCAUAAUAAUUUGUCUUUUAAUUGGGGACUUGUAUGAAUGGUCUGACGAGAGCUAAGCUGUCUCUUUUCAAAUUUAUAAAAAUUAACUUUUAGGUGAAGAGGCCUAAAUAUAGUUGAGGGACGAGAAGACCCUGUCGAGCUUUAGUUAAGAGUUAGGUGUAGAAUAAGGUUAAAUAUUUUAUUUUAAAGUGUGGUAUGUUGUGUUUUGAAUAAAAGAUUAAUAUGAUGCAUUAAGGAUGUAAUUUUAAGUCUACUUAGUCUUUAGGUGGGGCGUCUAAGGAAAAUAAUGAACUUCUUGAGUAUUGUGGGUGAAAUAAUUGUAAAAGUGAGAUACCCUAAUUUGUACGUUCUGGUUAAGUUUGAGAUCCAGUAUUAUUGAUUAACGGAUAUAGUUACCGCGGGGAUAACAGCGUAAUCUCUCUGGAGAGUUCUUAUUGAAAGAGGGGUUUGCGACCUCGAUGUUGGAUUAAGGUAUCCUAGGGGUGUAGUAGCUNCUGACGGU
rnacentral:rRNA from 1 species